AUUGCCUUGGAGAAAGUCCUCGAGUCCUAGGGUCAUAAAGCCAUGGAAUCCUCGAGUCCUAUGGCCAUGGAAUCCUAGAGUUGCAGAAUCCUAGGAAACCCCAGAUUCCGGCGCUCAUUUUUGACUUAGGGAUGAUGCUGAGACAUCAGGUUCCUGAGAAUGUUCUCCACUUCAUGAAUUGUCUCGAGUGUUUCAGGAGAAGGUCCCAUACAAGAGCAACUGAAUGCAUCAACAAUACCUUUGUCCAUUUCUGAUCCAAGAUCCCUCAGCCCAUUCCUGAGGAAAGGCAAUGGAUAUUUGAUUGCAC